UACGAAGGGGGGCUAGCGUUGUUCGGAAUCACUGGGCGUAAAGCGCACGUAGGCGGAUCUUUAAGUCAGGGGUGAAAUCCCGAGGCUCAACCUCGGAACUGCCUUUGAUACUGGCGACCUAGAGUUCGGAAGAGGUUAGUGGAAUUCCCAGUGUAGAGGUGAAAUUCGUAGAUAUUGGGAAGAACACCAGUGGCGAAGGCGGCUAACUGGUCCGAUACUGACGCUGAGGUGCGAAAGCGUGGGGAGCAAAACAGG
rnacentral:rRNA from 1 species